UAGAAGAGGUGCUGGCCCAGGCGAAAGAAAAGGGCAUCUGCAAUUCAGCAAAUGCAAAGGUAUUCCUCAGGGACUGGACAGAGCUUGAGGAGGAAAUCUUCUCAGAACUUCUGAGUGAGCUUCCUCUUAAUGAGAGGGUGUUUGUGGUAGCGGAAAUUAUUCCUGCAGCCCCUCCUGGUCCUUUCCUGUCAGGCAUAUCCGAGCUUGAAGCCCCCGCUAAAGCCAGCAGCAC